GCCCGUGUGGUGUAGUGGUUUGAGUGUUAAACUGUGACUCUGGAGACCAGGGUUCAAUUCCCAGCUUGGCCA